CGUUGAUUCUAGCGCUUUGUGCAGCAAGUGAUUUCUGAUUUGUGAACACGCCUCAUAAGGCAGAAACACGACAAUGGUAUUUCACGCCGACCCUACCAUCAGUCCAUCACACAAAUCUCUGAUCUGAUGAAGCAGGAAGACGAAAUCGAAAUCUUUUUAACGCAAUGUUUCAGGAUAAUUACUGCUUCCGUUUUUGAUUUUAGACAAUCUACACCUACUGUCAUCAUGCUGAACUCAAAGAAGUGAACACACCUUCACAGGCUGAAUUAACCUGCUUGCUGCCGCUGCUGUAAAACUUUGUCAGCGGCUGGAUUCGUCGAUUCCCAACGACCGGUAUAUGUUUCAAGGCAUUUCCAUCUCCUGGCGCAAAAUGGCCGACAGUCCAGCGCCAACGCCCCCUAGUGGGAACAAUUUGGCGAGAAGAAUGGGAGGCGACCCACGCGGCUCCGCGUCUCGUCGCUCGCGACUGGCCCACGCGGAGGCAAGAAGCUGGCGGUCUGCUGCUGACGUGGGGUCCGCAGGCGGGUGUAUAAAUGUUGCAUCCUCAGACGAUUCCACCGACUUCCAGGAGCGAGGAGCAAGCACCCAGCUUGGACCAGCCGUCUGAACCCCUGCACCUACCUUCGGACAGCUCAAGCCGCCAGACACCUCUUUAACCCUUUGCUU